CCUGAUCUAGCCAUGCCGCGUGAGUGAUGAAGGCCCUAGGAUCGUAAAGCUCUUUCGCCUGUGAAGAUAAUGACUGUAGCAGGUAAAGAAACCCCGGCUAACUCCGUGCCAGCAGCCGCGGUAAUACGGAGGGGGUUAGCGUUGUUCGGAAUUACUGGGCGUAAAGCGUACGUAGGCGGACCGUAAAGUUGGGGGUGAAAUCCCGGGGCUCAACCCCGGAACUGCCUCCAAAACUGGGGGUCUAGAGAUCGAGAGAGGUGAGUGGAAUUCCGAGUGUAGAGGUGAAAUUCGUAGAUAUUCGGAGGAACACCAGUGGCGAAGGCGGCUCACUGGCUCGAUACUGACGCUGAGGUACGAAAGUGUGGGGAGCAAACAGGAUUAGAUACCCUGGUAGUCCACACCGUAAACGAUGAAUGCCAGUCGUCGGGUUGCAUGCUAUUCGGUGACGCAGUUAACGCUUUAAGCAUUCCGCCUGGGGAGUACGGUCGCAAGAUU
rnacentral:rRNA from 1 species